rnacentral:lncRNA from 1 species
CUUUGAUUUUAUUAAAAUAUUCAGGUAAAAAUAUUAAAAUGCCUUCGCCAAACUUCAUGCCUGUGUAGCGUGAAAACAUUAAGCUGCUCUCUGCUCCCGGGAAUGCAUGAGUAGAGUAUGUGUUUGAAAGCGUCAUUCCAGUCUUAAGUUUUAGGUAUUCUUAAAGGGGUUGGCUGGAGAAGUGACAUUUAGCAUUGAGUGAACGUUUGACAAAGAUUUGUCUCGAUAUAAAAAUAGUUAAAAACAAUCUUUAGUGUUUCCUUUCAGGGUUCACCCAUUAAAGAAUGGUCUUGUAAAAACUCAUCGAGAGUGUCGGGCGCCUAGAGGUGCUACCUUGCCCACAGUUGUGUCAUCUGCUGUCACUAGGCGACACGCCCAGCGCUUAGCUGCACGUCAGAUGUGGCCACGGGGCCACAGGACAUCCCCGCGGACGGAUGUUCUUAUGCAGAUUAAUGAGGAUGGAGACCGCUGCAGAACUGUAAGCCCCCCAGGGGCUGACGGAAGCCUGGGAAUACCCGAGACACCAGAGUCGCUGCUGCCCUGGGUGGAAGGAAACCUGCCCUGGAAGAUGGGAAAUGCAAUAAGGAGAAAGUACCAGGCUGAAUUCAAGAAAGGGAAACAAGCAGACAGAGUAAGUACCAGAAAGCGUCUAAGUGGCUGGGUGGGGGAUCCUCCUAUGGUGUUGGAUUGUGUUCUGCCAGUUAUCGCCUCCUAAAAGCUGACCCUGAAACGGCUGGCAUUGUCCUCACCCUGGGACAUUCGUCUGUCUCACCAGAAAAUGAAGAAUCUGCCAGAGUACUGUGAGUCAAAUUCAGUCAGAAAUCGAUUAACUAAGAGGCUUUGUCUCAAAGGCCAAAACAUGAGGACACAUUUUUAAUUUUUAAGGAGUGCUUCCUUGUGAGUCAGUUCUGACGUGUACUGCAUUAGGAAACCUCUGAACUUCCACGGUCAGGCCCAGAACUCUGAGGGAAAGUGGUUGUGCCCUUCCCACUGUUUUUGUCACUAGCUGUAUUGAUUUCCUUAAAACCCUUUUUAUAUGAGUUCUAUUAUAGUUUGAAAAAAAUUCACUUAGGUAGAACUGGAAGCGCUUA